AUUGAACGCUGGCGGCAGGCCUAACACAUGCCAGUCGAACGGUAACAGAAAGCAGCUUGCUGCUUUGCUGACGAGUGGCGGACGGGUGAGUAAUGUCUGGGAAACUGCCUGAUGGAGGGGGAUAACUACUGGAAACGGUAGCUAAUACCGCAUAACGUCGCAAGACCAAAGAGGGGGACCUUCGGGCCUCUUGCCAUCGGAUGUGCCCAGAUGGGAUUAGCUAGUAGGUGGGGUAACGGCUCACCUAGGCGACGAUCCCUAGCUGGUCUGAGAGGAUGACCAGCCACACUGGAACUGAGACACGGUCCAGACUCCUACGGGAGGCAGCAGUGGGGAAUAUUGCACAAUGGGCGCAAGCCUGAUGCAGCCAUGCCGCGUGUAUGAAGAAGGCCUUCGGGUUGUAAAGUACCUUCAGCGGGGAGGAAGGGAGUAAAGUUAAUACCUUUGCUCAUUGACGUUACCCGCAGAAGAAGCACCGGCUAACUCCGUG
rnacentral:rRNA from 1 species